GACGAACGCUGGCGGCGUGCUUAACACAUGCAAGUCGAACGGAAAGGCCCUGCUUUUGUGGGGUGCUCGAGUGGCGAACGGGUGAGUAACACGUGAGUAACCUGCCCCUGACUUUGGGAUAACUUCAGGAAACUGGGGCUAAUACCGGAUAGGAGCUCCUGCUGCAUGGUGGGGGUUGGAAAGUUUCGGCGGUUGGGGAUGGACUCGCGGCUUAUCAGCUUGUUGGUGGGGUAGUGGCUUACCAAGGCUUUGACGGGUAGCCGGCCUGAGAGGGUGACCGGCCACAUUGGGACUGAGAUACGGCCCAGACUCCUACGGGAGGCAGCAGUGGGGAAUAUUGCACAAUGGGCGGAAGCCUGAUGCAGCAACGCCGCGUGCGGGAUGACGGCCUUCGGGUUGUAAACCGCUUUCGCCUGUGACGAAGCGUGAGUGACGGUAAUGGGUAAAGGAGCACCGGCUAACUAC
rnacentral:rRNA from 1 species